UACGUAGGGUGCGAGCGUUAAUCGGAAUUACUGGGCGUAAAGCGUGCGCAGGCGGUUCGCUGUGUCCUGUGUGAAAGCCCCGGGCUUAACCUCGAGAUGUCAUCGGAAACCAUCUGGCUAGAGUCCGGAAGAGGAGAGUGGAAUUCCUGGUGUAGCGGUGAAAUGCGCAGAUAUCAGGAAGAACACCAAUGGCGAAAGCAGCUCUCUGGGACGGUACUGACGCUGAGACGCGAAAGCGUGGGGAGCGAACAGG
rnacentral:rRNA from 1 species